CCUACGGGAGGCAGCAGUGAGGAAUAUUGGUCAAUGGACGAGAGUCUGAACCAGCCAAGUAGCGUGAAGGAUGACUGCCCUAUGGGUUGUAAACUUCUUUUAUAUGGGAAUAAAAUGUUCCACGUGUGGGAUUUUGUAUGUACCAUAUGAAUAAGGAUCGGCUAACUCCGUGCCAGCAGCCGCGGUAAUACGGAGGAUCCGAGCGUUAUCCGGAUUUAUUGGGUUUAAAGGGAGCGUAGGUGGAUUGUUAAGUCAGUUGUGAAAGUUUGCGGCUCAACCGUAAAAUUGCCGUUGAAACUGGCAGUCUUGAGUACAGUAGAGGUGGGCGGAAUUCGUGGUGUAGCGGUGAAAUGCUUAGAGAUCACGAAGAACUCCGAUUGCGAAGGCAGUUCACUGGACUGCAACUGACACUGAGGCUCGAAAGUGUGGGUAUCAAACAGGAUUAGAUACCCUAGUAGUC
rnacentral:rRNA from 1 species